UGGGGGAUAUUGCACAAUGGGCGAAAGCCUGAUGCAGCGACGCCGCGUGGGGGAUGAAGGCUUUCGGGUUGUAAACCUCUUUCGCUAUCGAACAAGGCCCGCUUAGGGUGGGUUGAGGGUAGGUGGAGAAGAAGCGCCGGCUAACUACGUGCCAGCAGCCGCGGUGAUACGUAGGGCGCGAGCGUUGUCCGGAAUUAUUGGGCGUAAAGGGCUUGUAGGCGGCUUGUUGCGCCUGCUGUGAAAACGCGGGGCUUAACUUCGCGCGUGCAGUGGGUACGGGCAGGCUUGAGUGUGGUAGGGGUGACUGGAAUUCCAGGUGUAGCGGUGGAAUGCGCAGAUAUCUGGAGGAACACCGAUGGCGAAGGCAGGUCACUGGGCCAUUACUGACGCUGAGGAGCGAAAGCAUGGGUAGCGAACAGG
rnacentral:rRNA from 1 species